GUACACGCUGUGACUAGCAUAUCAAUAAGCGGAGGAAAAGAAACUAACAAGGAUUCCCCUAGUAACGGCGAGUGAAGCGGGAGGAGCUCAAAUUUGAAAUCUUAAAGGGUUUCCCUUUACGAAUUGUAGUUUAAAGAAGUGUUUUCUGUUGAGGUUUUGGUAAAAGUUCUUUGGAAUAGGACAUCAUAGAGGGUGAGAAUCCCGUAUUUGACCUUUACUUUCAACUUUGUGAUACACUUUCAAAGAGUCGGAUUGUUUGGGAAUGCAGUCCAAAAUGGGUGGUAAAUUUCAUCUAAAGCUAAAUAUUGGCGAGAGACCGAUAGCGAACAAGUACCGUGAGGGAAAGAUGAAAAGAACUUUGAAAAGAGAGUUAAACAGUACGUGAAAUUGUCAAAAGGGAAGCGUUUGACACCAGUGUUGUUUUUCUGAAAAUCAAUUAAAGAACUGUUUAUGCUAAGCUUGUUUAGACUUUAUCAGCUAAUCUGUUUAGUUUUGAGCUUUUCCUUAAUGCACUUUUCAGUUAACAAGUCAACAUCAAUUUCUUUUGCUGUAAAAAAGCUUGAGGAAGGUGGCUUGAGAUUCGUCUUAAGUGUUUAUAGCCUCUUGCCUAUGCAGUCGGAGAGAUUGAGGUCUGCAGCGUAGAUCCUUCGGGGCUAAAUGCAUUUGUGCUAAGUUAUAGCAUUUUAUAGACAACUUGUUGACUAUGAUUUGUCUUGUAGCUUACUCGCUUAUGUUAUUUUACCUACGCUUAGGAUGUUGAAGAUGUAGCACAUCAU
rnacentral:rRNA from 1 species